AGGAGGAGGUGCAGGGCUGCAGCCAGCAGGGCUGGAGGCUGCAGGAGGGGUGCAUGACAAUGUGCAGCUUCUGCCAUCUGCCAGGGGGCAGGAACCAGGUUAAUUUAUCUGAUUACAUGCAAUGCACUGCGGCCGUGUUAAGGGAGGAACCACCUUUACUUUCCUGGUUUGGUGAGUCAGCAGCCUAGAGGAGAAGAACACAUCUUCCAGGAGAACAGAUGAACCCUCCUGGAGGGGUUCACAUGGUGGUGUGAAAGAAGAGCUUUUGCACAGGAAAAAGCCACAUCCCUCAGAGAAAGUCAAGCUGUAACAAAAGAAAAGAAUAAUCAGGAGCUGAUGGGGC
rnacentral:lncRNA from 1 species